GAUGAAUAACGUAGCGAAAUGCGAUAAGUAGUGUGAAUUGCAGAAUUCAGUGAAUCAUCGAAUCUUUGAACGCACAUUGCGCCCCUUGGUAUUCCAUGGGGCAUGCCUGUUCGAGCGUCAUUUGUACCUUCAAGCUUUGCUUGGUGUUGGGUGUUUGUCCAUUCUCUUGCAGAGGGACUCGCCUUAAAGUAAUUGGCAGCCAGUGUUUUGGUUUUGAAGCGCAGCACAAGUCGCGAUUCAACGCUAUACGCCAGCUUCCACAAGCCUUUUUCACUUUUGACCUCGGAUCAGGUAGGGAUACCCGCUGAACUUAAGCAUAUCAAUAAGCGGAGGA
rnacentral:misc_RNA from 1 species